UCCGCGGCCUAGAUGCUGAUGGUAUGGGACCUGUGAUGAUGUCACUAUCAUGUGACCAUCAUGUGACUGUGCAGGAUAGAUGUAAUAGUGGUGGAAGGACAUGUGUGAUGCUGUGGAGGAGGCGGGCUGAGCUGAUCUGGAGUGGAGGUCGUAUUUCACCCCAGUAGAAGAGUCUCCACUUCUCGAAUGUCAUCCAUUGUAACUUCAUGAGGAAGUACUUCAAAUAGGGAUGUUAGGUACAUAAGGAUUGACUUCUUAUCAGUGACAAGACAGCAAAAAGUUGCAAAUGUGACUUGGGUUGAAUUUUGGAACUUCUACACGCCCUUGACUUGGAGUAAAUGGGUCUGUAAAUUUGCCACUGGAUAAACAUUCGGCACUAUCAAGUAGCUGCAACAUGAAGAAGGGAGCCGGGACCUUUUUGUGAGCUUCUAUAGAAUUCAAUAGAAUGUUGCUUAUCCAUGCAGCAGCUUUCACGGACAAACCUGCAACUACUCUCAACACAAACUGUUUCCCUGAACAUUCUGUAGUUACCUGUAGAAACAUUACAAAAUUUUACAUAUUUGUACAAUAUAUUUAUAUUAUCACCAAACCUCUUUAGGGUACGUGCGCACUACAGAAAUUCAGCCCAAAAUUUCCAAUGGAAAAUUCUGCCUGCAGCAGCCAGGGGUUAUCUAGCUUUAAGAAACUAAGCUGCAGUGACGACUGCUCAGCCAAUCAUCAACUGAGGCAGGAAAUCGCUAGGGCUGGAAAUUGGCGGAGCAGGUCAUCACUGCCAAGACUAGUACGUUCCGGAAGGUCAUUUAGCGGGGAGAGUCAGGCCUCAUUCUGAAGACCACAGGGGGGCCCAGAAGACAGGCCUCACUGCCUCCCCACUUCCCCAUCAGACACUUAUAUCCUAUCCUGUGGAAACAUUUUUAAAAGCUGAAUAGCCCCAUUAUGUACCACCCUAUUCACUACAGCGAAGUCCCUGGACUUCUCGGGCAGACUCCACAGCAAGAUUGAACAAUCUUCUGGCACAAUCAAAUUCCUCUUCAGAAGUUCUGCACGAAAACGGCACACAAGCCUUAAAAAAUUCCUCCCUUCUCACACAUUUAUCCACAUUAUACACACCAUCCACAGCAGGUUCCAAAACCUACUUGCAAUUUACAACAUAGUGGACACCACCCGUAAUAAAACAUUUGUCAAUUCUUUUGUUUCAGAAAAUAAGGCAUAAAACUGCUAAUUUAUAUUAAAGGGGUUGACCCACCAAGGCAACCCCAUCCAAAAAAAUAGCCCCCUUUCCUUGGUAGCCAAUAAACUGAUGUUGGCCUGGUUGCCCAUAUCCCAGGCAAUCAGCUGUUAUGGCUGAAAGUGGUCACACUUUCUCCCUAAAUGAAUAGUAGACUUUUAUAUAUAAACAUAGUAGGAUGUAAUCGUUAUAUAAAUUACAUUGGAUCUUAAUUCCCAAGGUUAUAGCAAAUUCCUCUGUAU